AUGACACAUCUGACCAACUCGACUUCUCUCUCUUGUAAACUUGAGUCAUCACACGCAGAGCACAGUAGCACAGACCAGCGGAGGCUCUGCUCCAUACGGUCACUCAGGAUCCAGGCAGGCCAGACCCAGCCUCCACUGCCUUUGAACUGUGCCCUCUGGAACUUGUGGCAGCCUCGUCAUGACGGCUGGGGAGGAGGGAAGCGUGGCAACCCCUCACCUGCUUUUUUGUCCUUCAUACGACAUCCCCAUCACCGCCCAUUGCCUUCAACCUAAUUGCAAAUGAAGCUGAGAAAAGCACAGGAGUAUGUAAUUAGCCAAUGAACCCCACUGUCUCUGCCACUAACCGUGAGCUACACAUGAUGUAUUGUGUGUCCAAGGUGAAAAACCAAAUUUUGCUAGUGGCCAAUGAUUUAAAUAAGCCGUGAUAUAUUAUAAUAUGGUGGUUUAAAAAAUGAAUCUGUAUGUUCGAAUAAGGAAAGACCUCCUAGAUGUAUUAUUUAGCAAAAAAAGAAAAGAAACAAAACAUGGACAAUGUGCAGCGUGAUCUCUAGAGACAUCAUUCAGAGAAUGCACAUAUGCAAGUAUACAGUGCUUUUCUGAACAGACAGACAUGGUUCAGUUCACCAUGGUUGCCAUGAGGAAUGAAGGAAGGGACAGGAAAAGAAAGAUAAUUUUUGCCAGAUGCAAGCUCAGUACUAAUUUUACCCAAAAUAAGAUCGCUAAAAAGAUAACUCUAACACACUAGUUAAUAAUAUUAUGAAAUUCUUAGUUUUCUCAAGAUUGAUCAUGGUAUUUUAGUUCCAUGAGAGGGGAAUCUUUGUUCUUUUAUUUUAAAUAUUUUCUUGGCCGUGCUGCGCAGCACAUAGGAUCUUAGUUCCCUGACCAGGGAUCAAACCCAUGCCCCUUGCACCGGAAGCUCGGGGUCUUAACCCCUGGACCUCCAGGGAGGUCCUGACUUUCUCUCUUCUUAGAUGAUGAGCGGUGAAAGGAAAUGUCGUGAAAUCUGUAACUACUUUCAAAUGCUUUAGCCGGAGAAUCGUGUGCAUGCGCUCACACACGUGCCCACAGAAUACACACUUAUGUGCAAAAUGUGAAUUGUUGAAUCUGCAUGGUAGCUCUGUGGCAGUUUACUGUUCUGGUCUUUCAGCUUUCUGUAUAUCUGAGAUUUUUCAAAGUAAAAAGCUAAGGAAAAUGAAAUAAUUAAAAAGCUUGGCACCUUAGGACAGAGAGCUUCAGAGAUCCCCCGUCUUCCUGAUGUAGGCAGCGUUCACAG
ensembl:lncRNA